AGGGUUCGAUUCUGGCUCAGGAUGAACGCUGGCGGCGUGCCUAACACAUGCAAGUCGAACGAAGCACUUUAUUACGAUUUCUUCGGAAUGACGAUUUGGUGACUGAGUGGCGGACGGGUGAGUAACGCGUGGAUAACCUGCCCCAUACAGGGGGAUAACAGUUAGAAAUGACUGCUAAUACCGCAUAAGCGCACAGUAUCGCAUGAUACGGUGUGAAAAACUCCGGUGGUAUGGGAUGGAUCCGCGUCUGAUUAGCCAGUUGGCGGGGUAGAGGCCCACCAAAGCGACGAUCAGUAGCCGACCUGAGAGGGUGACCGGCCACAUUGGGACUGAGACACGGCCCAA
rnacentral:rRNA from 1 species